AAUAACUGACAGCAUAUGCAACAACUAAUUGACGCUCCCUCGUUUCAAGGGGCAGCGAGGUCGCGUUCACAAAAUAUUUAUCUUUACUCCGUUACACACCUUUCAUCUCUGCAGCGAUAUUCGUGGAUUUCGAGAACAUCCUAUCCUCACACACACUUCUGUCCUAAAGAAUGCUAUACGCAUAGCCGUUGAUCAAGAACGAUUCUUUUGUUCUAGUGUUUGUCGUUUGGGCCCAUCAGGGGCUCUUUCUUUUAUUCCCAGAACGUUCGACGGAACGGAGUGUUCGCGCGUAUCCGCCGUUUUUGCCCACAAAAAUAACGUGGAAAAAUUAGAUUUUCGGAAAACCUAAACCCAAGUCAAACGGGAAUAGGUAAUAUAUUAGUAGUUCGUUAGGACAGUUGUUGUGCCAAGUUGUAAGAGCUAGAGCGGAUAAAAGAACGAACGAAAAGAAAGAGACGCUGUGCAGUCUCGUUUGUGCGUUCUGGAGGAACCUGAACCAACGGUGCGUGGUUUGGUUCGAGAAUCAAGCAGGAUUGUAAAUCCCACUAAACGUGGGUGCUAGUCAGGGAUACUAGCCUGUAGAACGAGUCCGGUCCCGGUCCCGAGGCCAAAGAAGUAUCCGACUAAUUCCGGUUUUCGGCUAAGUCAAACCUAGUUCCGAAUCAGUUCUUUCACGGGACUCCUGCCAAAACCUGGGAAUAUUUCGCUUUGUCAAGCAACUUGCUUCGUGUGACGGAAGUCGAAUUUCGUGGUGUCACCCGCUGUAAUAGGCCGAUUCGAUCGUAAACAUCGUACAGCGAGAGCCUUCGACACUCGUGUCGCAUCAAUCAAAUCCGUAUUGCAAGAAGACUGGCUUCUUUUUGAAGACGACCGUCAGCUGAGAUCCUGUUUCACCGGUUCGUGUUUAGAACCCAACUGUAUCGUGAGGUGGCUACAGCCUGGUGGGUUCCAUAAACCCGGAGAAUAUCGAGCUACGUGUGUUUUACUCGGACGCGAGUACACGAGCCGAUUUACCAUCAGCAAACCUUCCAAGGCAGUUUAGUCGAGCCCGAAUCGACAAGGUGGAUCGAUUCACCAACAGGAAGGAACUACUACGAGGGAGUUCGCCGCAUCGUUCCAGAGGAAGCAGAAUGAAAAACAUUCUAAGGUCAGAUCAAACCAUUAUAUUUACCUUACAACUACCUUUUAUCUACCAUAUAUAACUAUGUAUAACAGUUAGGAAAGGGGCCCCCCAAAAGUUUAGUAGAGAGAAUAUAAAGAUGUAAACUGUAAAAAAAUUUGCUCGUCACUUGGUUUUCUGAGAACGUUCUGUAGAUACUUUCAUUUAACUUUUUUUUAGUCCGUAUGCAAUUGAAUUUUUCUAGAUUGGUCGGCCUGUUCCAACCUUUCCAAUCCUUAAGUUUUUGGUUUCCAUUGAGUGGGACUGAAUUGAUUAAAGGUUUACGUUUGAGUCACUACUUGAAACCCGCCUUGGGAGUCUUAAGCCGGUGUGAACUCGUACCCUCAGCCUUCCCUUGGGGAAG